UCAUCUCAAGAGCACGUCAUUGGCCAAUCAGGAAUUAGGAGGCAAAUCCAAAAUGGCCGAGAGUUGCGAACAAGUCGUUUAUAGCGCUGAUAAAUCUGGUUCAUCAGGAGAUGAAUUUGAAGUGGAGGAGAUUGUCGAUUAUCAAAAAGAUUCCAAUAACACAGAAUGGUACCUGGUGAAGUGGGUUGGAUAUCCUUCUACAGACAACACAUGGGAGCCCAAGAAGAACCUAGGAAACAGCAAAAAACUAUUGAAGAAGUUCCAUAAAAAUUAUCAUAAAGCAUGUCUUACUCGCACAGAAAUACUCAAGCAGAAGAGACAACUAGCGAGGAGUUUGAAACAGGUAAUAUUCUUGAUGAGGAUGGAAGUUUAUGAGCUAUAUUUGCACAGUUUUGCAAUUUAGAAAUAAGUACAACAUUAUGGAGGACCUGUUGGUUUUCUUCCCCACAAACUUGUUUGAUGACUACACACUUUGCAUGAGCUGCUUGUGUGCACAUCAACAACACUUCAUUUAAUAUCCUGUAUUAUACACAUCUUAGUGAUAGCAGCAAAAGUGUCCAGUGUUAGCACUGACAUCAUAAUGGGGGGGGGGGGGGGGGGUAGAGGUAGGGAUCCAAAUGUUGUCCGUCCGUCACAAACCUUAUGACACAUAACUCCACCACCGUAAGUCGCCUUUCAACCAAACUUGGAUGGUAGAUGGACUUGGGGGACCUGCAUGUUAUGCUGCAGUUGGAGGUUACGUGGUAAGAUCAAAGGUCAUUUCCAGGUCAACGUUAAAGUUUACAUGCAAGACUCUCUUAUGACACCUAGCUUCGCAACCGCAAGUUACUUUUCAACCAAACUUGGAUGGUAGAUGGACUUUGGGGACCUGCAUGUUAUGCAGCAGUCGGAGGUCACAUGGUAAGGUCAAAGGUCAUUUUCAGGUCAACGUUAAAGUUUACAGUAUGUAAGACUCUCUUAUGACACCUAACUCCGCAACUGUAUGUCACUUUUCAACCAAUCUUGGAUGGUAGAUGGACUUGGGGGACCUGCAUGUUAUGGUGCAGUCGGAGGUCACAUGGUAAGGUCAAAGGUCAUUUUCAGGUCAACGUUAAAGUUUACAUGCAAGACUCUCUUAUGACACCUAACUCCGCAACCGUAAAUCACUUUUCAACCAAACUUGGAUGGUAGAUGGACUUUGGGGACCUGCAUGUUAUGCUGCAGUCGGAGGUUACAUGGUAAGGUAAUUUUCAGGUCAACGUUAAAGUUUACAUGCAAGACUCUCUUAUGACACCUAGCUCCGCAAGUCACUUUUCAACCAAACUUGGAUGGUAGAGACCUGCAUGUUACAUACUUGCCAACCAUCCCGAUUUUGGCGGAAUCAUCCUGAUUUUUUAUUGCCAAUUCCGCAUUACGAAUAUCAACCCCAUAAUUCCGAUUUUCGUUAAUUUUGACAUUGAUAAUAUUGAAAAAACGGCUGGAGCGAAGGUUAGACAAAACUGAAGCUUGCGGACACCUGGAUAUCGCGAUAUCCCAAAUAGCAUUAUUUUUCCACCAACUGAACACACUCUUGUACAUAGUUUUUCACUUUGCCUAUCUCACAUGGCGCGCACAUUGCAUGAGCGCGUGCAAACACAGCUAGAGCGACAACACGUGCAAAUACAAUGCAUGCUGCGACGUCGCGAGGGUACCGCGCUGCAAGUGCAUACGUGUAAGUGUGCAAACGUAAGAUCCAACUUAACGAUCGUCGGUCUAAUGCUAAUGGCCAAAGGAUAUAGUUUUUCCGUGGAAUUUUAAAGCCAAAAAUUACAAAUUUAGUGUGUGGAAAGUGGAUACCAUCGCCAAUGCAUCGUUUGGAUUGUGACUGUGAUUCCAAUCGUUAGACAGACAGUGCAGUGGGCAGUACAACACAGUGACAGUGUAAACCCCGGGAGCUCUGGCACGCUUCGCGGGCCGGAGCUCCCUGGGUUAUGACAGUGAGUUACCGGUGCAUUUGCAAUUGCAUAGUUUCUAAGUUCAUGUGUAAGUUACAUGUGCAUUUAGACUGUUACUAGUAGUCUGUUUUCAAGAAAACAGUCAAAAUGAGCAAACCCAAAAUUAAUCAGAAAUACAAGGAGUAUUCUGAGAAAUAUCCAGUUAUUUCACUUCUAUCAAUCUCAUCCAAAUUUUCAUUCAGGAUAUAUCCAGUCAGUACAAUAUUGUAAUGGAAAUAGAUCUACAUGUUUUUGAAGUCUAAAAAUUUGGUGCAAUUUCAUGAAAGGAAUCCUGUUGAUUUUCCUGUUUCAUGCUUCAUUACACUGGGACAAAAUUAAGAUUUUUUUCUUUGUGGACAGGCAAAAGGCAUGCACUUCAAAAGUGAAGGAAAACCCUCAUUUCACGUUCUAAAAUUCAAAAAAUUUAUAACUGUGGGCGUGGCAGGGGGGUACCCCCACACCCUUCCCCCGCAAAAUGUCACACGCUCGUUACUCUGAAAAAUGGAUUCCUCUUUUUUUUUCUAAAGUUGGCAAGUAUGAUGUUAUGCUGCAGUCAGAGGUCACAUGGUAAGGUCAAAGGUAAUUUUCAGGUCAAAGUUAAAGUUUGCAUGCAAGACUGUUAUGACACAUAACUCUGCAACCGUAAAUCACUUUUCAACCAAACUUGGAUGGUAGAUGUACUUAGGGGACCUGCAUGCUAUUGUGUUGGUAGGUCACAUGGUAUGGUCAAAGUUCAUUUUGAGGUCAACAUUAAAGUUUACGUGCAAGACUUUCAUGACAAGUGUUAUUCCAUCCCAGUCAUUUCACAAUGAAGUUUCGAUAUAAUUCUGUUGCGUGCCCUCGCAAAUCAUGAUAUUUCUGGUUAUUUUCAUAAGUGGGCGAGACACAAAAUCGCUUUUGCCUUGUUAUUAAUCAUAUUAUAAUAUUGGCUACUUAUAUAGCGCACAGGUUCACCUUUUGGUGGACAGUAAUUAAGUAAAACAAUGUACAUUGGCCUAUGUUAAACUGGCAGUGCAUCCAUUUGAUCAGUGUUUCAUUCCAGCAUCUUUAUAUAAUGUCAAAAUCAGU